rnacentral:rRNA from 1 species
AGCAUAGGAAAUUGCCUUGAAGUGGGGGAUAGCCCGGAGAAAUCCGGAUUAAUACCGCAUAUGCUCUACGGAGCAAAAUGGGCCUCUGAUUUAAGCUCAUGCUUUGAGAUAUGCCUAUGUCGGAUUAGCUAGUUGGUGGGGUAAAAGCCUACCAAGGCGACGAUCCGUAGCUGGUUUGAGAGGAUGAUCAGCCACACUGGGACUGAGACACGGCCCAG